GCCCCCUGUGAGUCAGAGGGUUUUAGGAGCGCUACUGUAAUGACAGCUCAAAGCUGUCCACGUCAACACUGUGCUACCACCAUGGACUCCGCGGCUCUGGAACCCUCGCUGUACACAGUGAAGGCUGUCUUCAUCUUAGACAACGAUGGAAACAGACUGCUUUCAAAGUACUAUGAUCCAGAACUCUACCCUUCCAUGAAAGAGCAGAAGAAUUUUGAAAAGAACGUCUUCAACAAAACACAUAAAGCUGACAAUGAGAUUGCCCUCUUAGAAGGGAUGACAAUAGUCUACAAGAGCAGCAUAGACUUGUUCUUCUAUGUAGUUGGCAGCGUUCAGGAGAAUGAGCUCAUGUUGAUGGCAGUGCUGAACUGCUUGUUUGAGUCUCUCAGUCUGAUGUUGAGGAAGAAUGUGGAGAAAAGGACUCUGCUGGAUAAUAUGGACGGAGUGUUCCUAGUGGUGGAUGAAAUCAUCGAUGGAGGGGUGAUCCUGGAGAGUGACCCCCAACAGGUCAUUGAGAAGGUCAACUACAAGUGUGUUUCGGAGCAAGCGUAUGGCUUCGUCCUUUUUGAUUACAUCACUGGUAACGUGGAGGGCCAGGGAGAGAGACGGCAGCUACUGUAGCUCUCCUUCAGCCCCCCUCUCCCUCUGCUUUAGAGCCGGAGAGAGACGAGAGGGAGAGAGAGGGAUGAGGGUGAGAGAGUGGGCAGGCAGACGACAGCCCAUUAUCAGAACAGAGUGUGGCACAGCUUCAAACUAAAAGGUUUUACAGUCCGCAAAGGAGCAGAUCAAGUGGUCAAUUCUAAAAUAAGCCAAAUACUUUCCAUGACCUGAAGGAAUCUGUAAAUUAUUGAAAGGGAAUUUCAUUUUAAUUUUUUAGUGAUAUGUAAUUUAAUUAAUUAUAUUUAUGUUUUUUAAAUGAAAUGCAGAGGCAUAUUUGUUAACUGUCUGUGUACAUCCUGUCUUUUCCAAAGCAGCUUUAAAGCAAUGUUUGUGUGUGUGUGUGUGUGUGUGUGUGUGUGUGUGUGUGUUUGUUUGUUUUAAUAUUUAUAUUGUUCUGUUUAGAGGAAGUACAGUCAUAUUUUCUUUCAGCAUGGCCUGUGAUAUAUAAAAAAAAUCACAGAUCAUAACUUGAUUGCCGAAUCUUGUUUUAGUCUUGUCAAAUUUGUCAUUGUUGUUUUAUGACUGCUUUACAACCUUGUGUCGAAAAUAUAAUUCACAAAGUUAUGUUGCAUAUAGGCUUAUAACUAAAUAUUUUGCUAUUUUAAAUGGAUUUUGUUUAAAUGAGAAAAGGGCAAUAUUAUGAAUACAAUAAAUAUAAUACAUUGAAUAUGAUACAAAUUACCAAUAAGUAAACAAAAUAUAUUUUAUUAAUAGGAUUUAUUUUCUAGUAAAAUAAAAUGUGUAAGCCUAUAUCCUGAAUUUGUUUAAUUUCUUUAAACCAUGGUUUCGGGAAAUAAUUACGGAGGAACAUGUCACUAAAAAUUAAUAAAUAAUUUUUAUAUUAUUUAAA